AUGUGCUUUCUUAACUCACAUGGGAAAGAUAGUAAAUCUGCUCAUAGUUAUGCUGUGAAAUGCCAUGAUAAUUUCAAGGACAAGCCAUGUCAAAUAGAGCAGUUAAUGGUGAAGCAAACCGACGAGGAUAUCAAGAAGAAUAGGUUGCGACUGAGAGUAACAAUUGAUGCACUACGGUGGUUAGCAUUCCAAGCUUGCCCCUUUCAAGGACAUGAUGAAACUCUUGAUUCAACAAACCAUGGCAAUUUUCUUGAAAUGGAUAAAUUGGUAGCUUCUUAUGAUGAGGAAAUUGGUGCAGUUGUAUUGGGUAAUGCUCCUGGGAAUGCAAAGUAUACCUCGCAUCCAAUUCAAACAGAAAUUCUGCACAUAAUUGCUUCCAAUGUGCAAAGGGAAAUUCGUAAAGAAAUUGGUGAUGCUAAGUUUUGCUUGCUUGUUGAUGAGUCAAGAGAUGAAGCAAAAAGGGAGCAAAUGGCAGUGGUUAUUCGUUUUGUUGAUAAACCCGGUUUCACUCAGGAGCGUUUUCUUGAUAUUGUUCAUGUCGCAGAUACAUCCUCGGCUACUCUAAAACAAGAGUUAUCUUCUGUUUUGGCUCAAUAUCAGUUAGAUGUGCACAAUAUCUGUGGACAAGGAUACGAUGGUGCUAGUAACAUGCGUGGGGGGUGGAACGGACUACAAGACAAGUUCAUGGAAGAGUGUCCCUAUGCAUAUUACAUCCAUUGUUUUGCUCAUCAAUUGCAGCUUGCUCUAGUUGCUGCAUCUAAAGAAGUAGCUGAUGUGCACAACUUUUUUGACCAUCUUGCUCUUGCUGUCAAUACUGUUGUGUCUUCUAGUACGAGAAGUGAUGAGCUACAUGCUAAUCAAGUUGCUGAAAUGGAGCGUCUGAUUGAGCUAAACCUACAUUUUUGGUACUUAAAAGCAUUGCUACUGCCAAAGGGUCAGGUAGUUCACCUACAGCACGAGCAAAGGCCUAUGGUGCUGUUAAGCUAA
rnacentral:rRNA from 1 species